UUGCUUUGGCAGUACAUACACUAAAAUUGGACCGAUGCAGAGAAGAUUAGCAUGCCCCUGUGCAAGGAUGACAUGCACAUUCACGACGUGUUCCAUAUUUCU